rnacentral:rRNA from 1 species
CUGGCGGCGUGCCUAAUACAUGCAAGUCGAACGAGUUCUGAUUAUUGAAAGGUGCUUGCAUCUUGAUUUAAUUUUGAACGAGUGGCGGACGGGUGAGUAACACGUGGGUAACCUGCCCUUAAGUGGGGGAUAACAUUUGGAAACAGAUGCUAAUACCGCAUAAAUCCAAGAACCGCAUGGUUCUUGGCUGAAAGAUGGCGUAAGCUAUCGCUUUUGGAUGGACCCGCGGCGUAUUAGCUAGUUGGUGAGGUAACGGCUCACCAAGGCAAUGAUACGUAGCCGAACUGAGAGGUUGAUCGGCCACAUUGGGACUGAGACACGGCCCAAACUCCUACGGGAGGCAGCAGUAGGGAAUCUUCCACAAUGGACGCAAGUCUGAUGGAGCAACGCCGCGUGAGUGAAGAAGGCUUUCGGGUCGUAAAACUCUGUUGUUGGAGAAGAAUGGUCGGCAGAGUAACUGUUGUCGGCGUGACGGUAUCCAACCAGAAAGCCACGGCUAACUACGUGCCAGCAGCCGCGGUAAUACGUAGGUGGCAAGCGUUAUCCGGAUUUAUUGGGCGUAAAGCGAGCGCAGGCGGUUUUUUAAGUCUGAUGUGAAAGCCCUCGGCUUAACCGAGGAAGUGCAUCGGAAACUGGGAAACUUGAGUGCAGAAGAGGACAGUGGAACUCCAUGUGUAGCGGUGAAAUGCGUAGAUAUAUGGAAGAACACCAGUGGCGAAGGCGGCUGUCUGGUCUGUAACUGACGCUGAGGCUCGAAAGCAUGGGUAGCGAACAGGAUUAGAUACCCUGGUAGUCCAUGCCGUAAACGAUGAAUGCUAGGUGUUGGAGGGUUUCCGCCCUUCAGUGCCGCAGCUAACGCAUUAAGCAUUCCGCCUGGGGAGUACGACCGCAAGGUUGAAACUCAAAGGAAUUGACGGGGGCCCGCACAAGCGGUGGAGCAUGUGGUUUAAUUCGAAGCAACGCGAAGAACCUUACCAGGUCUUGACAUCUUUUGAUCACCUGAGAGAUCAGGUUUCCCCUUCGGGGGCAAAAUGACAGGUGGUGCAUGGUUGUCGUCAGCUCGUGUCGUGAGAUGUUGGGUUAAGUCCCGCAACGAGCGCAACCCUUAUGACUAGUUGCCAGCAUUUAGUUGGGCACUCUAGUAAGACUGCCGGUGACAAACCGGAGGAAGGUGGGGAUGACGUCAAAUCAUCAUGCCCCUUAUGACCUGGGCUACACACGUGCUACAAUGGAUGGUACAACGAGUUGCGAGACCGCGAGGUCAAGCUAAUCUCUUAAAGCCAUUCUCAGUUCGGACUGUAGGCUGCAACUCGCCUACACGAAGUCGGAAUCGCUAGUAAUCGCGGAUCAGCACGCCGCGGUGAAUACGUUCCCGGGCCUUGUACACACCGCCCGUCACACCAUGAGAGUUUGUAACACCCGAAGCCGGUGGCGUAACCCUUUUAGGGAGCGAGCCGUCUAAGGUGGACAAAUGUUAG